rnacentral:rRNA from 1 species
AGGAUUAACGCUGGCGGCGUGCCUAACACAUGCAAGUCGAACGAGGUAGCAAUACCUAGUGGCAGACGGGUGAGUAACGCGUGGUCAACCUACCGUUGAGUGGGGGAUAACUAGCCGAAAGGUUAGCUAAUACCGCAUACGAGUCUAGGGGGCAUCCCUGGGCCUUAAAAGGAGCAAUCCGCUCGAUGACGGGACCGCGUCCCAUUAGCUAGAUGGUGGGGUAACGGCCUACCAUGGCACCGAUGGGUAGCUGGUUUGAGAGAGCGACCAGCCACACUGGGACUGAGAAACGGCCCAGACUCCUACGGGAGGCAGCAGUGAGGAAUUUUCCGCAAUGGGCGAAAGCCUGACGGAGCGACGCCGCGUGUGGGAAGAAGGCCUUCGGGUCGUAAACCACUGUCGAAGGGGACGAUAAUGACGGUACCCUUGGAGGAGCCCCGGCUAACUACGUGCCAGCAGCCGC